rnacentral:misc_RNA from 1 species
UAUUAUCACUUUCUGUGAGGGAUGGCAGCGGCAUCCUUGCGGGUGAGUGAGGCGGCGGAGCGCAGCGGAGCCGUCCGAGCGAGCUCGUCAAGAUAUAGCGAACAGCCCGACCCAAG